UUCUUAUCAAGAGAGGCGGAGGGAAAGGCCCGAUGAAGCCCAGCAACCGAUUCAAAUCACGCAUUUGGAUGUCAUGGUGCUAAUUCCUCAGAGUGCGUCGGCAUUCUGGCAGAUGAGAA
rnacentral:ncRNA from 1 species